CCUACGGGAGGCAGCAGUGAGGAAUCUUGGUCAAUAGGCGUAAGCCUGAACCAGCCAAGUCGCGUGAGGGAUGAAGGUUCUCUGGAUCGUAAACCUCUUUUAUAAGGGAAUAAAGUGCGGGACGUGUCCCGUUUUGUAUGUAACUUAUGCAUAAGGAUCGGCUAACUCCGUGCCAGCAGCCGCGGUAAUCCGGAGGGUCCGGACGUUAGCCGGAUUUAUUGGGUUUAAAGGGUGCGUAGGCGGCGUUUUAAGUCAGCGGUGAAAGUCUGUGGCUCAACCAUAGAAUUGCCGUUGAAACUGGGAGGCUUGAGUAUGUUUGAGGCAGGCGGAAUGCGUGGUGUAGCGGUGAAAUGCUUAGAUAUCACGCAGAACCCCGAUUGCGAAGGCAGCCUGCCAAGCCAUGACUGACGCUGAUGCACGAAAGCGUGGGGAGCAAACAGGAUUAGAUACCCGAGUAGUC
rnacentral:rRNA from 1 species